rnacentral:rRNA from 1 species
GACGAACGCUGGCGGCGUGCUUAACACAUGCAAGUCGAACGGUAAGGCCCUUCGGGGUACACGAGUGGCGAACGGGUGAGUAACACGUGGGUGAUCUGCCCUGCACUUCGGGAUAAGCCUGGGAAACUGGGUCUAAUACCGGAUAGGACUCCUGGCUUCAUGGUUGGGGGUGGAAAGCUUUUGCGGUGUGGGAUGGGCCCGCGGCCUAUCAGCUUGUUGGUGGGGUAAUGGCCUACCAAGGCGACGACGGGUAGCCGGCCUGAGAGGGUGACCGGUCACACUGGGACUGAGAUACGGCCCAGACUCCUACGGGAGGCAGCAGUGGGGAAUAUUGCACAAUGGGCGCAAGCCUGAUGCAGCGACGCCGCGUGAGGGAUGACGGCCUUCGGGUUGUAAACCUCUUUCAGCUAUGACGAAGCGCAAGUGACGGUAGUAGCAGAAUAAGGAUCGGCUAACUUCGUGCCAGCCGCCGCCGUAA